rnacentral:lncRNA from 1 species
CAAAAACAUCAAUGCCAUGUAAAAUCUAUGGGUACUGCUUAAGGAACUAUUAUAUGGUAACACCAAUAUAAUGAUCAUCCUGGCUAGUAUUAGGAUAAUAUCUUUGAAACCUCUUGUCUGUCCCAUCUUAAUUAUGCAUCUCCCUUGGAAAUUAAGAUGAAAAAUCACAAUGACCCUAAAUGUGGAGCCAGAGAAUUUAUGAUCAUUUAGUGCCACCACACAACCUUGGACAAAUCCCAAUAUCUGUGUUAAUUUUUUUCCAAAGAGUUGCAGCCUCUGGCUCUUUGUUCUCUCCUGCUUAGAAAAACCAUAUGACUGGAUUGAAUAUUUGUGAAAUAACAGCACUCCUGGUCAUCAGAAUUGAUUUUUCCAGUGCAAGAAUGAGAAGAAAUGAUCGACGCAUCCCACAAAAUUUUGCUUCUGUUCACAAACUGCAUCGAAUGAAGAAAACGAAUAUGAAUCCCCUGAAUCAUGAUUCAAAUUAUGUUUGGGAGCCAAGGGCUGUUUUGGUGUCCUUAAUAUUUAUUAGGAACAUCUGCAAUACACACUCAGGGAUGCAACCAGGCCUUGAAGGCAGGUGAGGCAGAGCCAGAGCCGAGCUGCAGCCUCCUGUGGUGAAAAGAAGCAAGGGUCAGAAGUCCAAUAGCUGAGCAUACUGGACUUUUCCAAGAAAGUAAAUAUCACCUUCAGAAACGGCCCAUCAACUCUGAUGACAGGUUUUUUA